rnacentral:lncRNA from 1 species
AUCUCUCCCCCGCACUCGCACGUCCCACCUCCUCCCCCUCUCUCGAUCUCCUUUGCGAACCCUAGCCCCACGCUCGCACGCUCCCUGUCGCGCCGCCGCCUCCGCCUCUGCUCGCCGUCGGGCCGUUUCCUUCUUCCCCGAGGGCGGCGAGCCGGAGCUGCCCCUGCGCGUUGUCGACCACCUCCUCGCUGGCUGGACGCCGUCGACUACGAAGCCGGUCUUCUCUAAGUGCGUGCCGCCGUAUGGGUCGCCGAGACGCCGAGGCCGAGGUGGAGCUCCAGACCAUCGAGGCCAUGUACGCCGCUGAGUCCACCAGGCACCGCCACCUCCCCGACUGGUCCAAGACACCAGCCCCCGCCCCCGUUCGCCCACGGCCCAACCCAGUCCCCGCGGCUGCGUGUGCCUCCUCGCCGUCGUGGGUCCUCUCGCCCCCCACUUGCCAAGGUGCGGCUCCCCCUCUUUUGCCUCUCAUGUUCUACUCCAAAAUGCUUCUUUUGUCUAUCUUGAAGCUUCAGUUAUGCUGCCAAAUUUAGUCUAUCUUGAAGCUUGGGAACAUUCAAAUUUAGUCUAACUUUUGAGUAGCAAGUUCCCUGAUUUUUUUUUUGAAGCUUCAGUUUUGCAUCUCAAGUCUGAUCGAAAUGCACAAGACAUUCAAAUCACUGAAUGAAUGCCUAAAAAGAGGAAAAAGGCAGCAAGGAGGGAGAGGAUAUUUUUGUAUCUCAGGUCUGAAUGAGAUGCACAUUAUAAUGUCAAUAUGUCAUCAGAUUAAUUGGUUUCUUGGGGGUCCUAAUGAGUUUUAUGAGAAAAACUAGCUUAAAUGGCAGCAAGUUUUGAAUACAGUGUAUGUUCUAUAGCUUCUUUAACAAGAUCACCGAAUACAGUUUUUUGGGGUCCUUGUAUUGUUUAUCAUGUUUAUCACUGCAAGUUCAUGAUCCAAUAGUUAAGAGUAAGUCUAAGAUCAUUUGGUCACAGAAAUUUGAUCUUGACUGAACAUCAACUUGACAGAUCAAAACCUGGCAGAAAUUGACAGGUUCUGAACAUCAACUUGACUGAACAAAGAUCUUGAUUGAAAGAACUUGUGCUUGGUCCUAUGCAUCUACAGUUUUGUUAAUAGAUCUUUUUUGUAUCUUUCAUUCUGUCUUGAUCUUGACUGAGUAAAUUUUCAGUGUGAGUACCAGCUACUCACCCAUGUUCUUCUCUAUAAUCAAGUGUUCCCGGGGAAGCCUAGUAAUGGCCAAUUCAUCUCAAAAUAAUGCAAACCCUUGCAAACUGCUCAGGUAGCUAUUGCUCCUAAUCAAAUGACAAUUUAUCCUUUGAACUUGUUCACAAAUGCAACUCUGGUCGCUGGCUUCUACAUAUGGACCAUGUGGAGUACUCUGUAUAUUCAAUAUAGUGAUUUUCUUUUGCUUAUUUGAUUUUUGGAUUAAUUUGUAUAUUCAACAUAUAUUGUGGAAAUCUUGAAUUUUAUUGAAACCUCUAUACUUGCUUGAACUGAUGUUCAG